rnacentral:snRNA from 1 species
AUAGAGAAAGGGUCAGGGAAAUACCAUGAUCACAAAGAUCAUUCUUCCAGGGCAAACCUUAUCUAUUGCCCUCCAGAGGUGCUGACUCCUGAUAUUUCCCCAAAUGUGGGUAAGAAAGAAACUCAAUUGCAUAAAUUGUGGUGGCGGGGACUGUGUUUGUGCUUUCCCCAG